rnacentral:rRNA from 1 species
AGUGAACGCUGGCGGUAGGCCUAACACAUGCAAGUCGAACGGCAGCACAGUAAGAGCUUGCUCUUACGGGUGGCGAGUGGCGGACGGGGGAGGAAUACAUCGGAAUCUACUUUUUCGUGGGGGAUAACGGAGGGAAACUUACGCUAAUACCGCAUACGACCUACGGGUGAAAGCAGGGGAUCUUCGGACCUUGCGCGAUUGAAUGAGCCGAUGUCGGAUUAGCUAGUUGGCGGGGUAAAGGCCCACCAAGGCGACGAUCCGUAGCUGGUCUGAGAGGAUGAUCAGCCACACUGGAACUGAGACACGGUCCAGACUCCUACGGGAGGCAGCAGUGGGGAAUAUUGGACAAUGGGCGCAAGCCUGAUCCAGCCAUACCGCGUGGGUGAAGAAGGCCUUCGGGUUGUAAAGCCCUUUUGUUGGGAAAGAAAAGCAGCAGGUUAAUACCCCGCUGUUCUGACGGUACCCAAAGAAUAAGCACCGGCUAACUUCGUG